rnacentral:lncRNA from 1 species
ACAUGAUUCAACGCAUGCUUCCACUCUUUCUUAGCGUUUCGCAGGCGAGACCCUAAAGCGGGGCCGGGUCCCCCCCAGGGCUGAGCGGCGGGGGGGGGUCCCGGGCCGGGCCGUCCGCGCAUGCGCACCUGAGGCUUCGCCGUCGCGGGGNNNNNNNNNNNNNNNNNNNNNNNNNNNNNNNNNNNNNNNNNNNNNNNNNNCGGCCUAGGCCGCACGGACACGGCAGGGUGCGCAGGCACCCCACGGCCACGCAUCGCCGGGUUUCGGGCUGCACGCUCACCCUGCACACGGGUGUUCCUGCUGUUGCGGUAUGUGGAUGCUCAGCAGCCAGGUAUCCCUCCAAGAUCAGGGUGUGCAGCUACUCCGCAUCCCAACUCCACCAAGCAACAGGGUGCGUGGCCACCCCGCAUCUCGUGGCCUGUGGUGUUGGGGUGCGUGGCUGCACACACAGCACCCCCCUCGCUGUCGGGACGUGCAGCCACCCCACGCUCUCAGCGUCUGGCUGCACCCCUGCCCAACAGCCGUGUUUCCCCCCAGUGUCAGGGUGCAUGGCUGAGCACCCCAGCAUCUGCCUGCCUUCACGAUGCAGAGCUACCAUGGACCCCAGCACGUCUGUGCACCCCUGGGGUGUCAGGGCACCUGUAUUCACACUGCACAUAGCAGCUGGGACACCCCCAGGUGUCCGGGCACAUGGACAAGCACAUCCGUCGGGUUUUGGGGUGCAGACAUUUGCAUGCUCACGUCUGAUGUGUGAAAGGUCAGACACACACACACCUCCUGGGUGGCAGGGGUGCACACGCACAGCUCGUGGGGCACAGCUGUGGACACGUGUGUCUUGGGCGUAGGAAGCAGACACACACGCUCCCUGGGUGUUAGAGACACAGAAGCAGCCAAGCUGGGAUGGGUCUACACACAGUUUUUCCGUACUUUCUUUGAAAUGGGGAAAGCUGCUGUCUCAAGCCUCAGAAUGGGCAGUGGCUCCUGUGAAGACUAAAGGCAUCACUGCAAGCUGCUGUUUAAAACAGGAACGGGUAGAGUUGUGUAGAGGAUAUGUUGUGAGAUUUUAUGUGCCUGUUUUGGUGUUUUUUUUCAUUUCAAAUAAACUUUGACAUCGGUUUAGACCACAGAUCAAAAACUGUCAGGUUUUUU